rnacentral:rRNA from 1 species
GAUGAACGCUAGCGGUAGGCUUAACACAUGCAAGUCGAGGGGCAGCACAGGUAGCAAUACUUGGUGGCGACCGGCGCACGGGUGAGUAACGCGUAUGCAACCUACCUAUAACUGGAGGAUAGCCCCCGGAAACGGGGAUUAAUAUUCCAUAACGUUCAGAGAUCGCAUGGUUUUUGGACUAAAGCUCCGGCGGUUAUAGAUGGGCAUGCGUGCCAUUAGCUAGUUGGUGAGGUAACGGCUCACCAAGGCUACGAUGGUUAGGGGGUCUUAAAGGAUGAUCCCCCACACUGGUACUGAGACACGGACCAGACUCCUACGGGAGGCAGCAGUGAGGAAUAUUGGUCAAUGGGCGCAAGCCUGAACCAGCCAAGCCGCGUGAAGGAUGACAGCCCUAUGGGUCGUAAACUUCUUUUGUAUGGGAAGAACCCUCCUACGUGUAGGAGACUGACUGUACUAUACGAAUAAGCAUCGGCUAACUCCGUGCCAGCAGCCGCGGUAACAC